AUGUGGAGGCUAUAUACAGGGGGUACCGGUACAGAGUCAAUGUGGAGGCUAUAUACAGGGGGGUACCGGUACAGAGUCAAUGUGGAGGCUAUAUACAGGGUGUUACCGGUACAGAGUCAAUGUGGAGGCUAUAUACAGGGGGUACCGGUACAGAGUCAGUGUGGAGGUUAUAUACAGGGGGUACCGGUACAGAGUCAGUGUGGAGGCUAUAUACAGGGGGUACCGGUACAGAGUCAGUGUGGAGGCUAUAUACAGGGGGUACCGGUACAGAGUCAGUGUGGAGGCUAUAUACAGGGGGUACCGGUACAGAGUCAAUGUGGAGGCUAUAUACAGGGUGUUACGGUACAGAGUCAAUGUGGAGGCUAUAUACAGGGUGUUACAGUACAGAGUCAAUGUGGAGGCUAUAUACAGGGGGUACCGGUACAGAGUCAAUGUGGAGGCUAUAUACAGGGGUACCGGUACAGAGUCAAUGUGGAGGCUAUAUACAGGGGGUACCGGUACAGAGUCAAUGUGGAGGCUAUAUACAGGGUGUUACGGUACAGAGUCAAUGUGGAGGCUAUAUACAGGGGGUACCGGUACAGAGUCAGUGUGGAGGUUAUAUACAGGGGGUACCGGUACAGAGUCAGUGUGGAGGCUAUAUACAGGGGGUACCGGUACAGAGUCAGUGUGGGGGGGGUACAGGUUAGUGGAGGUAAUAUGUAGGUAGGGGUAAAGUGACUAUGCAUCGAUCAUAAACAGUGAGUAGUAGUGUGGGGGGGGGGCUUUUGGACCUAGACUUGGCGUCCCGGUACCGCUUGCCGUGCGCUACCAGAGAGAACAGUUGAACGGUCUUACCAAGGACCUUCUCAGGAGGCUGGAGCAUGUUGUGUAGAACACAUACCUGUCACAUAGAACAGUCAGCUCUAUGUGGUCUAUAUCUGUAAUAACCACUGUCCUCUGCUGACUGUCCUGUAUGUCUCUGUUCCUCAUCUAUAUCUGUCAUAAUCACUGUCCUCUGCUGACUGUCCUGUCUGUCUCUGUUCCUCAUCUAUAUCUGUAAUAACCACUGUCCUCUGCUGACCGUCCUGUCUGUCUGUCUCUGUUCCUCAUCUAUAUCUGUAAUAACCACUGUCCUCUGCUGACCGUCCUGUCUGUCUGUCUCUGUUCCUCAUCUAUAUCUGUAAUAACCACUGUCCUCUGCUGACUGUCCUGUCUGUCUGUCUCUGUUCCUCAUCUAUAUCUGUAAUAACCACUGUCCUCUGCUGACCGUCCUGUCUGUCUGUCUCUGUUCCUCAUCUAUAUCUGUAAUAAUCACUGUCCUCUGCUGACUGUCCUGUCUGUCUCUGUUCCUCAUCUAUAUCUGUCAUAAUCACUGUCCUCUGCUGACUGUCCUGUCUGUCUCUGUUCCUCAUCUAUAUCUGUAAUAAUCACUGUCCUCUGCUGACUGUCCUGUCUGUCUCUGUUCCUCAUCUAUAUCUGUAAUAACCACUGUCCUCUGCUGACUGUCCUGUCUGUCUCUGUUCCUCAUCUAUAUCUGUAAUAACCACUGUCCUCUGCUGACUGUCCUGUCUGUCUCUGUUCCUCAUCACUGUCCUCUGCUGACUGUCCUGUCUGUCUCUGUUCCUCAUCUAUAUCUGUAAUAACCACUGUCCUCUGCUGACUGUCCUGUCUGUCUCUGUUCCUCAUCUAUAUCUGUCAUAAUCACUGUCCUCUGCUGACUGUCCUGUCUGUCUCUGUUCCUCAUCUAUAUCUGUCAUAAUCACUGUCCUCUGCUGACUGUCCUGUCUGUCUCUGUUCCUCAUCUAUAUCUGUCAUAACCACUGUCCUCUGCUGACUGUCCUGUCUGUCUCUGUUCCUCAUCUAUAUCUGUCAUAAUCACUGUCCUCUGCUGACUGUCCUGUCUGUCUGUCUGUCUCUGUUCCUCAUCUAUAUCUAUAAUAAUCACUGUCCUCUGCUGACUGUCCUGUCUGUCUCUGUUCCUCAUCUAUAUCUGUAAUAACCACUGUCCUCUGCUGACUGUCCUGUCUGUCUCUGUUCCUCAUCUAUAUCUGUCAUAAUCACUGUCCUCUGCUGACUGUCCUGUCUGUCUCUGUUCCUCAUCUAUAUCUGUCAUAAUCACUGUCCUCUGCUGACUGUCCUGUCUGUCUCUGUUCCUCAUCUAUAUCUAUAAUAAUCACUGUCCUCUGCUGACUGUCCUGUCUGUCUCUGUUCCUCAUCUAUAUCUGUCAUAACCACUGUCCUCUGCUGACUGUCCUCUGCUGACUGUCCCGUCUGUCUCUGUUCCUCAUCUAUAUCUGUCAUAAUCACUGUCCUCUGCUGACUGUCCUGUCUGUCUGUCUCUGUUCCUCAUCUAUAUCUGUAAUAACCACUGUCCUCUGCUGACUGGCCUGUCUGUCUGUCUCUGUUCCUCAUCUAUAUCUGUAAUAAUCACUGUCCUCUGCUGACUGUCCUGUCUGUCUCUGUUCCUCAUCUAUAUCUAUAAUAAUCACUGUCCUCUGCUGACUGUCCUGUCUGUCUCUGUUCCUCAUCUAUAUCUGUCAUAACCACUGUCCUCUGCUGACUGUCCUCUGCUGACUGUCCCGUCUCUCUGUUCCUCAUCUAUAUCUGUCAUAAUCACUGUCCUCUGCUGACUGUCCUGUCUGUCUGUCUCUGUUCCUCAUCUAUAUCUGUAAUAACCACUGUCCUCUGCUGACUGGCCUGUCUGUCUGUCUCUGUUCCUCAUCUAUAUCUGUAAUAAUCACUGUCCUCUGCUGACUGUCCUGUCUGUCUCUGUUCCUCAUCUAUAUCUGUCAUAAUCACUGUCCUCUGCUGACUGUCCUGUCUGUCUCUGUUCCUCAUCUAUAUCUGUCAUAACCACUGUCCUCUGCUGACUGUCCUGUCUGUCUCUGUUCCUCAUCUAUAUCUGUCAUAAUCACUGUCCUCUGCUGACUGUCCUGUCUGUCUCUGUUCCUCAUCUAUAUCUAUAAUAAUCACUGUCCUCUGCUGACUGUCCUGUCUGUCUCUGUUCCUCAUCUAUAUCUGUAAUAACCACUGUCCUCUGCUGACUGUCCUGUCUGUCUCUGUUCCUCAUCUAUCUAUAUCUGUAAUAAUCACUGUCCUCUGCUGACUGUCCUGUCUGUCUCUGUUCCUCAUCUAUAUCUGUCAUAAUCACUGUCCUCUGCUGACUGUCCUGUCUGUCUCUGUUCCUCAUCUAUAUCUGUCAUAAUCACUGUCCUCUGCUGACUGUCCUCUGCUGACUGUCCCGUCUGUCUCUGUUCCUCAUCUAUAUCUGUCAUAAUCACUGUCCUCUGCUGACUGUCCUGUCUGUCUGUCUCUGUUCCUCAUCUAUAUCUGUCAUAAUCACUGUCCUCUGCUGACUGUCCUGUCUGUCUGUCUCUGUUCCUCAUCUAUAUCUGUCAUAAUCACUGUCCUCUGCUGACUGUCCUCUGCUGACUGUCCCGUCUGUCUCUGUUCCUCAGGACUAAAGCGUGUCGUUACUUCGACCAGGGUCGUGGCACUUGCCCGUUUGGCUCCAACUGCUUCUACAAACACGCCUUCCCUGACGGACGGCUGGAGGAGCCUCAGCCUCAGAGAAGACAAGCAGGGUCCAACGGCAGGAACAGGAACUCGAGGAGGACACCUCUGUGGGACCUGUUUGAAGAGCGGGAGAACAGCAGCGACUCUUUGGACAACGAGGACGAGGAGAUGGUGACCUUUGAACUGAGCGAGAUGCUCCUCAUGCUCCUCGCCGCGGGAACCGACGACGACGUCACGGACUCGGAGGACGAAUGGGACUUGUUUCACGAAGAGUUGGACGAUAUCUAUGAGAUUUACCUAUAGCGCCACGCCUAACGUUAACGUUUAAAACCCCCCCCCUGUCCCUUUUGACCCACCCUCUUCACCUUUACCGCGCUGUAGAAUGGACUGUCUUGUGUGUCUGGACAGUAGCUUCUUUCCGCUGUGUCGUGGCAGUGCCUUUGAGCAGGCCUUUCAUUCAGAAAUCAACUACCAUGAAGAAGAAAAAACAAAAUGAACAAAAAAAUGUAAAUGAGAACAGGUGGGUGUAAAAAAACAUUUUCUAGAAUCGUCGUGUCCUUGUGAAUUUAUCUAUCCGUGUCAGGUUCAUGUAAAAAAAAAUAACAACAACGAGAAGAAGAAAAAACAAGGGGAAAAAAUAUUACAAACCAUUUUUGAAAAUAUCGCUAAUAAACCAGUGUUUGUUUGUGGAUGUGGGUUUGACUUAUCAUUUUUACCCAGGUGAUGUUUUUAAGACUUGUGUUUUUUUUUUUUUUUUUUUUUGAGGAUGAUGCCUCAAACCAACUCUACACGACUACACUUCCUGGUGAUGAUGUCAUGUGUCUGUGGUGGUCAUGGGUAUCGUAGUCCUCUGGUCAAGCACUGAGUUUAUUGGGUGGAGGGAGACAGCAGUCCUGUCGACUUCCUACAUUCACGUGUACCCUCUUGAUUCACUCUCUUUCCCUCCUCCCUCUCCUGAGGGUGGUGGGAACUCCCUCUGUCAAGGAGGGGGGGUGACGACGACGACUCUGUCAAGGGGGGGGGGGGACUUCGGGGAACAACUUACAGUAUCUAAAGUUAUUUUUUAAAUGGGCCCAGUCCACUUUUAUUUCCCCCCCCCCCUGUCCCAAUGGCAGGUAUUAUUCAGGAACACCUGUGGUACCUAAUGACAAGUCUCUCCUCAGAACCAAGCUGAAAGUGACACUCGAUGACUCUGUGUCCCUAAUGGCACCAUAUUGACUAUACACUGAGUGGACAAAACAUUAGGAACACCUUCCCAAUAUUGUUGCCCCCCUCCCUCCCUUCCCUCAGAACAGCCUCAUUUCUUCGGUGCGUGGACUCUACCAGGUCGGAUCCUUAUACCAUAGGGCUCUAGUGAACUACCAGUGGUCUCGAUAGGGUGCCAUUUGGAACACAGACGUGUCUGGUCACUACUUAUUCUCUUUGAACUCUCAUUAGAAUGCACUAUAUAUUAUGUUUCUCUAUUGUUUUUCUAUGGUCCACAACCAUCCAUCAUGACUUGAAAUUAAAGUUUAUUAUCAAAGUUAA